rnacentral:rRNA from 1 species
CCUACGGGAGGCAGCAGUGGGGAAUAUUGGACAAUGGGCGAAAGCCUGAUCCAGCAAUGCCGCGUGAGUGAUGAAGGCCUUCGGGUCGUAAAGCUCUUUUACCAGGGAUGAUAAUGACAGUACCUGGAGAAUAAGCUCCGGCUAACUCCGUGCCAGCAGCCGCGGUAAUACGGAGGGAGCUAGCGUUGUUCGGAAUUACUGGGCGUAAAGAGUACGUAGGCGGUUAUUCAAGUCAGAGGUGAAAGCCCGGGGCUCAACCCCGGAACUGCCUUUGAAACUAGAUAACUAGAGUCUUGGAGAGGUUAGUGGAAUUCCGAGUGUAGAGGUGAAAUUCGUAGAUAUUCGGAAGAACACCAGUGGCGAAGGCGACUAACUGGACAAGUACUGACGCUGAGGUACGAAAGCGUGGGGAGCAAACAGGAUUAGAUACCCUGGUAGUCCACGCCGUAAACGAUGAUAACUAGUUGUUCGGUCACUUGGUGACUGAGUGACGCAGCUACGACAUAUUAUCGUCGUGGAGGUACGGUCGCGAGAGUAAACUACAAUAGAGUAGACGCGUGUAGAGUUGCGAGACGACGACGAGGAGGAGG